rfam:Eubacterium brachy ATCC 33089 genomic scaffold Scaffold6, whole genome shotgun sequence.
AAUCUGUUUCAGGGCGAGGUGCGAUUCCUCACCGGUGGUAAUUGUAAAGCAUAAGUCCACGAGCCAAGCGGCUGAACUGGUGUGAUUCCAGUACCGACGGUCACAGUCCGGAUGAGAGAAACCAGAU